GCCGAGUUAGCUCAGUUGGUAGAGCACUUCCAUGGUAAGGAAGGGGUCAUCGGUUCGAGUCCGAUACUCGGCU
rnacentral:tRNA from 1 species